CCUCCUCGAUCUGCUGCGGGCAGAUGAAGUGGAUGUGGCUGUCGAUGCCGCCGGCGGUGACGAUGUUGCCCUCGCAGCUGAUGACCUCGGUGCCCGGGCCGAUGACGAUGUCCACGCCCGCCUGCACGUCCGGGUUGCCCGCCUUCCCGAUGGCCACGAUGCGCCCGUCCUUCAGGCCGAUGUCCGCCUUGACGAUGCCCCAGUGGUCCAGGAUGAGGGCGUUGGUCAUCACCGUGUCGACAGUGCCCUGGGCGCGCGUGCGCUGGCCCUGGGCCAUGCCGUCGCGGAUG
rnacentral:sRNA from 1 species